rnacentral:sRNA from 1 species
GCCAACAAAGAGAACACACAGAAACCGACACAAUGGCUGACGUUGUAGAUGAGCAAGAGCAACCUACCAACAUUGGUGCUGGUGACUUCCCUCACAACCACAACCAGCGUCAUGGAAUUGUUCCACCUCCAGUACAGAAUAAUAACUUUGAGAUCAAAAGCGGUCUCAUUGCCAUGGUUCAGGGGAACAAGUUUCAUGGCCUACCAAUGGAGGAUCCGCUAGAUCAUCUUGACAAGUUUGAAAGGCUCUGUGGCCA